CCCGGGUGGGCCGUGGGCCACAGACAGGGACGGCGCCAGCUCAUCCGCAAGCUGCACAAAUACCUGGGAAGAUGCAGCCGCCUGAAAACUGCCGCGAGGGGAAAAGGCAAACUCCCUUUCGCUUGGGUCAGCAGUGAGCGCAGCAGAUUACCGGCUCCCACCGCACCCCACCCCCACCCGCACCCAGCCCAGGCCCGUCCACCUCCGCCUCCAUCUGCCCCGAUCCCCCAAAAGGCAGGGUUGGCCCAGGAGCCUCCAGAACAGGACCUGGAUCGAUGGCACACUCCAGCCGGAACCCCACUAACCAUGGCCACGUGGUGGUUCCCAGCCUUCACCCCACUGGACACCAGCCCCUGGGGUGAGCCCACAGGAGGUAGCACUCGGGGACCCGGAGCCAGUGUGAGAGGCCGUGCGGCUCACCAAAGCUGCACAGCCGCCGCGGGGGUGCGGGCAGCCAGGGGGGUCCCAGGGCCCUGGGGAUCCAGAAGUGGGGUGCGUGGGAGGCAGUUAAGUGGGAGAAGCAGCCGCUCGGACCCCGAGCUCCUGGUGGGGCCGAGUCCCCAAGGCCCUGCUGAGAAGGCUGGGUCAGAGGUCUGCGGGCCCUCAUGGAGGUCGGGAGGUCGGGCUCCAGCGUUGGGUGUCCCGUAGGGACCCAAGCCCAAGAAGCCCGAGGCACACUGUGCUCCCGGCAUCCCGAGACAGAGCUUUUGUUGGAGAAGCUGAACUUGCUGCCUGACUGCAGAGGGCUCAAUGGUGGCCCCCAAAAGAUACAGCCACCCCGAACCUGUGAACGUGCCCUUGUGUGGAAAAAGGAUCUUUGCAGAUGUAUUCAAGUUACGGAUCUUGGGAUGAGAUCAUCCUGAUUACCCGGUGGGCCCUGAAUCCACUGACACGUUUCCCAGUAAGAGACAGAAGAGGAGAGGCCACGUGAAGACGCGGGCAGAGACGGGAGUGAUGAGGAAGCAGCCUAGGAGCACCUGGGGACACCAGAAGCGGAAGGAACCAGGAAGGGUCCUCCCCCCCAGCCUCCGAGUGAGCACGGCCCUGCCCACUCUUCGAUCUUAGACUUUUGGCCUCCAGAACUGGGAGAGAACACGUCUCUGGUGUUUUAAGCUUCCGAGUUUAGGGUAAUUUGUUAGAACAGCAGCAGGAAGCCAAUAAGCCGAGCUCACACGAGUGCCCGUGUUUCUGGGCCUCAGUUUGUCCCUCCGUAGGAUGGACAUGAUCCAGCAGGGCCUCGGGUGUUGGGUUAGAGGGGUGGGCUCGGCCCCGCUGUCCACGAGAAGCAUCUCCCACUUCUGGAAAGCCCGCCCCACCCCCAGAUUCUGAAGCACGUGGCUAGGGCACUCGGUCACAAUGGCCUGAACAUCUGCAUUUGGGGCUGUCCAGCUAGAGACAGAGCCAGUGGAUGAGGCAGCCACAGACU